CGCCACUUACCCCUCGUGCCGCCGCGCUGCCUUUCCUCCCCCCGUCUCUUUCGCACCGCACGUUGUCGGAGACCGACGCGCCCCCCUCCUCUCCCCUCCGCUCUCCACGGGUCGGCGUCGCCUCCACUACUCCUCCUCCUCCAGUCCACCUCGCUCCCUCAGCCGCCCUCCUCCUCUUCGUUGCGGAGGCAGCAACCAGCCACAAGAGUGAGCCGGCGCACCUGCUCCCACUCCCACCGCACCACCAAAAAAGUAGCCGUCGCGGCGUCGCGUCGGCGUCUAUAGCGGCAUGAGGGCUGCCGCCGCGCCGAGGCGGUGAGGAGGAGGCGGACGAGGCGGGUGGACGCGAUGCCGCUCGUGAGGUUCGAGGUGCGGAAUGAGGUGGGGCUGGGGGACCCUGACCUCUACGGCGACGGCGGCAGAGCAGGAGCUGGGGCUGGAGCAGUGGGGAAGAAAGGCGCCGGGGAGGAGGACCCCAAGGCGCUGCUCGAGGGCGUCACCGUCGCGGGGCUCGUCGGGAUCCUGCGGCAGCUCGGAGAUCUCGCGGAAUUUGCGGCUGAUGUUUUCCAUGACCUACAUGAGCAAGUUAUAGCUACGUCUGCUAGGGGUCGUAAAGUGUUGGCUCGAGUACAGAACAUUGAAGCAGCACUUCCAUCUCUUGAAAAAGCUGUGAAGAAUCAGAAGAGCCACAUACAUUUUGCAUAUGUACCGGGCUCUGAUUGGCACACUCAGCUUCAAAAUGAGCAAAAUCACCUGCUAUCCAGUGAUUUGCCUCGUUUCAUGAUGGAUUCCUAUGAAGAAUGCCGAGAUCCACCACGACUUUACCUUCUCGAUAAAUUUGAUAAUGCUGGCGCCGGGGCUUGUUUAAAGAGAUAUUCUGAUCCAUCCUACUUCAAGAAAGCAUGGGAUAUGAUGAGAGCUGACAAGACUGCUAAUCUCCAAAGAGAAAAGAGAUCUCAGAAAAUCAAGAGAAAAGGAUCACGACCAAGGGAACCAUAUGCCACAUCCAGGCAUAGGAGUGGUGAAUUGCAGCGAUCACUUACUGCUGCCCAACUUGCUAACAGCAGGCAGUUUGCAUCUCCCAGCACCGAUGGGCAGAGCUUUUCAGAGCAUAGAUCUACACCUGAUGCAAGAACUAACCCUGACAAUAUAAGCAGAUCUUCUUCGUUUAGUUCCAAGACACGACUGAGUUCAGUAGAACAAGCUUUAGAUACAAAGCCUUCUGCAGUUCCUCAUGAGAAUGGCCAUGGCAAGUCAUCAAAUACUAAGCUGCACAAGCUCAGUGAUGCCCCUUCGCCCAUACUACUUAACUGUACCAGUGUGGAUUGUCUGGGUGAUGAUUUGAAGCAAGGUUCUCUUCCAGAUGAUAUGGUUGCUAGAUCACCUCCUGUUAAAUGGGAUGAAAAAGCUGCAAUUAUCAUGUCUAAAAGUUCUGUCUACUGUGAUGAUGUUGUUAUGGUUAAGGCUGAAGAUGCAGAAGCAGAAGAACCUACUCGUAUUAGCCAUGGGCAUGAAGAAAUUGGCCAUAGGGAGGUGUAUACUUUGGAGGAACAAGAGGCCUUAUUUAAAAAGACAAAAUCACCAUUACUGCCAUCAGUCUUGAACAACCAUGAUGAAAUUCCAGGUGAAGCAGACAACUACAUGGAUGCACUUAAUACACUGGAAUCUGAGACAGAAACUGAAGCUGAAUUUCAAACUAAAAGUCAAGUGAUGUCAGUGCCUUCCUUCAAUGCUGAAGUGCCUCAAGUGGGGGCAGUUGAUAAUAUUGUUUCACAGCAUCCUGAUUCCUCUGUUCCUGAAUUUACUUCUGAAAGUACAGUUGAUUUUCCUGGUCUGUCGAAUGCAGAUCCUCUUGAGAUUUCACGGCCAGAAUUUUUGGUUUCUACAUCUGUAAGUCCCUAUGAAGAGCCAUCUGUCAUCACUAAUAUCCAUGAUAGUAUUGGAGAGGGUGCUCAUGGGGAUCCUUAUGAGCUUUCAGAGCCGGCACUGCAAGUCCAUACAACUAUACCUCCCAACGAAACAUUCCCUGUUUACAAUAUCUUACCUGAGAUUAAGGCAGAAGAUGGUUCUGGAGAUGUUCCUGAGAUUUCAGAACCAGGGUUGUCCGCCUAUACAGUUAUUCCUUCCAAUAAAGAGUCCGCUUCUGUCAACCAGAUCCAUGAAAGUAAUGCAGAAAAUGCUAGUGAUUUUAUCGAUGAAGCCACUGAUAUUGUUGCAUCUGGAUCUACCAUUUCCAACAUGCCGACUGAUAAGGCCUUCAAGACGUCACCUGCUGCUACAAGCUCACCUGGUGAUACAUCUGAUGAUUCAUGUGUUGUUUCUGAAAGUAGGCCUCAGGAUUAUCCUGGAAAGAAUCAUGAGGAAGUUGGUGAUUGUGGUGCUACUGAAAUCUCUAAUUCACAGAGCAAGCCUCUUAACGAGCCGUUAGAGAGCAGAUGUACAACUCAAGAUGUUCCUGCAAAUACCUCUACUACUUUUGGAGUAUCGUCUCUGUGGACAAAUGCUGGGCUGUUUGGACUAGAACCAUCUAAACCUCCGGUAUUUGGUGCCCAAGAUGGCCCAAGGGAGGAUUCCCCACCUGAUUCUAGAGAACCUCAACAGCACCAUUCAACUGAAUUAACAGAAUUGCAUUGUUCAAAGCCUAUUGAAUCAGCAGUUGUAGAUGUUCCAAAUGGAAACACAUCAAUUACCAGCAGCUUUGUGGGAAAGCUUGUUGGUAUCCGUCCUGGUUCUGCAAACCCCAACAGCUCAGGGGCUAAUCAAUCAGCAGCAAGAGCAAAUGAUUCAGUUCAUAGUCAAACCGAUGGGUCCUCUGAUAUUUCCACAUCCUUUGAUCACAAUAAUAUGAUUGGCAAGCAUACUUCAAUAAGUGAGCUUCUAGAAUCUGAAGAAAGUGCUGAACAUGGUGCUGAAAAGUACUCAACUGACAUGGCUGGUAGGAAUAAUAUGAAUAUGGUGUCUGCAUCAAGCUUUUCAAGCAUUGCACAAAGAUUUCUUGCUAAUACACUUCAGAGAAGAACUUCUCCCAAAUAUACCGAUCUUCCUAUGCCAUCUGGGAGAGAGAACACUAAUGCAAGUGCAAAUGAUGAACCUACCCUAAAUCCUAUUAUAGAACCAAGCAAAACAGUAUUUGAGGAAUCUCAGUUUCAGAAGAAAACAGAAUAUGGAAUGAAUGGAUUGCCCGAAUCAUCAAUCUUUUCUAGCAGCCAUUACUCUGAGAAAUCGUCUCCGCCACUUGAGUAUAUGAAAAUAUCUUUUCACCCUAUGAGUGCAUUUGAGAUGUCAAAAUUGAGCCAAGAUUUCUGUGAUGGGAAUCUUCAUGAAAAUUCCGAUGAUAUGAUGUUACCAACAUUUCAGUUACUUUCAGAGUCUUCCAUUCCACAGCCAGGCAAUGGUUCUGAGUCAGAAGAUGAUACUUUUGGUAGAUCUUAUAGUUAUUCUUCAUACGAUGAUCUAAGUCCACGUUUAUAUUCGAACUCUGAGGUGUGGGAUCAAGAAGAUGGAGUUGGACUAGAGGAUCAUGAGUUGUGUGACGAUUCAAGUCAGAUAGGAUCCUCAACAGCACAUAUAUCUAGCUAUAUGGGAUUCGAGCAAAUGAACUUAUCUGGCAUGAAGUCAACUAUUUCACUUGCAGAUAUUGGGGAUCAGAAUGAACUAGGCGCAUUAGAAUCUCAUACUGUUGAAGAACUUCCAAAUUUUGAUACUUUGAUGUCUAGAAACGAUAACCAAAAUGGUGAAACCUCCAUUCCACACAAUGCAGUGAAUUUGCCGCUAGUUGAAGAUCAGUUGCCACCACCACCUCCUCUCCCCCCAAUGCAGUGGAGGAUGAUGAGAGAAACAACUUCGCUAGAAGAAGAAAGAGGCAUUGAAGCUAAAGAUAUGCUUAGGAAAGUCUCAAGUCUACCACAUGUACACACUUGUGCCCAGGACGAACAUCUUCCACCGAUUGCACCACCAGGUCCACAGGGGCAAACUAAGGAAGUGGAUGUUCAGAAAACUGAAGGGGUAACAGAAAUUAGUAAUCCUCCUAGUUUCAUUGAGAUCAAAUCAAGUUUGCUUCAGCAGAUCAGGGAUAAGUCAGAGCAGCUGAAGCUUAAUGGACAUGAAAGGUCAAAAGCUGUAUGUAGUGACAUUAAAAGCUUGGACGAAAGGGAGGAGUUGCUUCAACAAAUCAGGAGCAAGACCUUCAAUUUAAGACGAACAAACGCAUCUAAGACAGACACCUCAUCACAAUCUACCGCCAAUUCCAACGUUGUGGCUAUUUUGGAGAAGGCAAAUGCAAUCCGGCAGGCUGUGGCCAGUGAGGAGGGAGGUGAUGAUGAUAACUGGAGUGAUAUAUGACCACCUAACUGUGGAUGUGUACGGUAGUCUUUUUCUGUACAUUCAACUAUUACAAGAUGAAGUGGGAAAAUGUGAAUAACAUCUUUUCCUCAUUGUAAUUAGAUUUUGCAGGUAUCAUGUUACCCGGUGAGUCCCUUUCCUGUUGGUUGUACUAGUGGCCAUGCUUCCCCAAGCCUUCGGGGGUCGGCGGCUUUUGGGGGUCUACGGGCUUCGGAGGCUUGGGUCUUUAUGACGACUCGAAGCCCGGGGCCUCCAGAGGGGUUCUGAUCUGGUGGUCUUCUGACUUAGGCUGGUGGAGUCUAAUGGCGUCAGCUGGUUGUUGGUGACUCCCCAACAGUUGUAAUGAUUUAAGUAGGGGUCAUUGUCCAAGUGAAUAUCUACUUC